GAUUUGUCACUCAACAAGCACCCUAAACAAAAGUAGACACCCCCUGGAAAUACCCAAAAUCGCGCUGUGUGAGAGAAAGUCAUGUAUAUUUCCAGGGGGUGACUACUUCUGUUUACGGUACUUGUUGAAUGACUAAUCAUGACGAAAACGCUUACACAAAAAGCAAUAGAUAUGGCUUUCUGUGUAGUAUUCCGUGACAGAGAAGUUAUAUCUCCUAUGUGGCAGAGGCUUACAUGAAGUUUCUCGUGAGGGAAAAGUGAGCGCGCAAAGAGUGAUGGAAAGAACCCGCCCAACAGGGGUAACAAAACAUUUUUUUUUUAAAUUUCAUUUUGGUUGGACUUUCUGGCCAAUAGGCGUGAAUAAACAUAUUAAUUAAACAAUGGAAGAAGAUUAUUUUUUUUCGUUAUUUCAGGCUUUGAUUCAUUCAGCAGUUGUACAUUAGUUGUUU
rnacentral:lncRNA from 1 species